rnacentral:rRNA from 2 species
GGUUAAGCGACUAAGCGUACACGGUGGAUGCCCUGGCAGUCAGAGGCGAUGAAGGGCGUGCUAAUCUGCGAUAAGCGCCGGUAAGGUGAUAUGAACCGUUAUAACCGGCGAUACCCGAAUGGGGAAACCCAGUGUGACUCGUCACACUAUCAUUAACUGAAUCCAUAGGUUAAUGAGGCGAACCGGGGGAACUGAAACAUCUAAGUACCCCGAGGAAAAGAAAUCAACCGAGAUUCCCCCAGUAGCGGCGAGCGAACGGGGAGGAGCCCAGAGCCUGAAUCAGCAUGUGUGUUAGUGGAAGCGUCUGGAAAGGCGCGCGAUACAGGGUGACAGCCCCGUACACAAAAGCGCAUGUG